UACCAGACUCCUACGGGAGGCAGCAGUGGGGAAUAUUGGGCAAUGGGCGCAAGCCUGACCCAGCAACGCCGCGUGAAGGAAGAAGGCCCUCGGGUUGUAAACUUCUUUUAUCAGGGACGAAACAAAUGACGGUACCCGAAGAAAAAGCAUCGGCUAACUCCGUGCCAGCAGCCGCGGUAAUACGGAGGAUGCGAGCGUUAUCCGGAUUUAUUGGGUUUAAAGGGUGCGUAGGCGGUCCGGAAAGUCAGCGGUAGACGCGGGGGGCUCAACCCCGGCGAGCCGUUGAAACUGUCGGACUAGAGACGGCGAGAAGUACGCGGAAUGCGCGGUGUAGCGGAGAAAUGCAUAGAUAUCGCGCAGAACUCCGAUUGCGAAGGCAGCAUGCCGGCUCCACACUGACGCUGAGGCACGAAAGCGUGGGUAUCGAACAGGAUUAGAUACCCGGGUAG
rnacentral:rRNA from 1 species